UCCCUGGUAGCUCAGAUGGUAAAGCGUCUGCCUACAAUGUGGGAGAUCCAGGUUCGAUCCCUGGGUCGGGAA
rnacentral:tRNA from 1 species